UACGUAGGGGGCAAGCGUUGUCCGGAAUCAUUGGGCGUAAAGCGCGUGUAGGCGGCUUGGUAAGUCCGUUCUGAAAGCCCGGGGCUCAACCCCGGGAGGCGGAUGGAUACUGCUGAGCUCGAGUCCGGAAGAGGCGAGUGGAAUUCUCGGUGUAGCGGUGAAAUGCGUAGAUAUCGAGAGGAACACCUGCGGCGAAGGCGGGUUGCUGGGCUGACACUGACGCUGAUGUGCGAAAGCUAGGGGAGCGAACGGG
rnacentral:rRNA from 1 species